UGAACGCUGGCGGCGUGCUUAACACAUGCAAGUCGAACGAAGCACUUUAUUGAAACCUUCGGGUAGAUUAUUCUGUGACUUAGUGGCGGACGGGUGAGUAACGCGUGGGUAACCUGCCUCAUACACCGGGAUAACAGUUGGAAACGGCUGCUAAUACCGGAUAAGCAUACAGUACCGCAUGGUACAGUGUGAAAAAACUCAGGUGGUAUGAGAUGGACCCGCGUCUGAUUAGCUAGUUGGUAAGGUAACGGCUUACCAAGGCGACGAUCAGUAGCCGACUUGAGAGAGUGAUCGGCCACAUUGGGACUGAGACACGGCCCAAACUCCUACGGGAGGCAGCAGUGGGGAAUAUUGGGCAAUGGGGGGAAACCCUGACCCAGCAACGCCGCGUGAGGGAAGAAGGUUUUCGGAUCGUAAACCUCUGUCCUUGGUGAAGAGGAAGAGACGGUAGCCAAGGAGGAAGCCCCGGCUAACUACGUGCCAGCCGCCGC
rnacentral:rRNA from 1 species